rnacentral:rRNA from 1 species
AUUGAACGCUGGCGGCAGGCCUAACACAUGCAAGUCGAGCGGAUGAAGGGAGCUUGCUCCUGGAUUCAGCGGCGGACGGGUGAGUAAUGCCCAGGAAUCUGCCUGGUGGUGGGGGAUAACGUCCGGAAACGGGCGCUAAUACCGCAUACGUCCUGAGGGAGAAAGUGGGGGAUCUUCGGACCUCACGCUAUCAGAUGAGCCUAGGUCGGAUUAGCUAGUUGGUGGGUUAAAGGCCUACCAAGGCGACGAUCCGUAACUGGUCUGAGAGGAUGAUCAGUCACACUGGAACUGAGACACGGUCCAGACUCCUACGGGAGGCAGCAGUGGGGAAUAUUGGACAAUGGGCGAAAGCCUGAUCCAGCCAUGCCGCGUGUGUGAAGAAGGUCUUCGGAUUGUAAAGCACUUUAAGUUGGGAGGAAGGGCAGUAAGUUAAUACCUUGCUGUUUUGACGUACCAACAGAAUAAGCACCGGCUAACUUCGUG